rnacentral:rRNA from 1 species
UACGAAGGGGGCUAGCGUUGCUCGGAUUGACUGGGCGUAAAGGGCGCGUAGGCGGUUCGUACAGUCAGACGUGAAAUUCCUGGGCUCAACCUGGGGGCUGCGUUUGAUACGUGCGGACUUGAGUGCGGAAGAGGGUCGUGGAAUUCCCAGUGUAGAGGUGAAAUUCGUAGAUAUUGGGAAGAACACCGGUGGCGAAGGCGACUCUUUGGUCUGUAACUGACGCUGAGGCGCGAAAGCGUGGGGAGCAAACAGG